AUGUUUGCGUAAAGAGGCUGCAGCACCCCCCCGUGGGCCUCUGGCCCUUGGCCCUCAGGCGAGGGGCGUCUGACUUCUCCAGAAGGGCGUCCUCGCGCCCUCCUGAGGGAGACCCUGCAGCUCUGUGGUUGAGGAAGCUCAGAAACGGGGUUUCUGGCCCCUUGGCCAUAGGCUCCAGUACCCUCAAGGAAGCACGGGUUGCUGAGAGAAAAGCAGGGCCGGCCGCCACUUUAAGCGCCGAAAACAUUCCAGUCAGGACCGUUGUCUUAGGGCGCAAGAGACCUCAGUGUGGGACCCUCCGGGUUCAUCCCAAAUGCCUGUUGACUGGAAAAAAACACACGACCUAAAAGUCGGAGAAAACUUGUCCAAAAGUUGGACAAAACUGAGGACUUAAGCCCAGGACGCAGCAUCUCAGAUAACUGACGGACUGCCCCGAAGAGCCUCCUGACUGCAGGCCCCCAGGGGGCCGAAACCUGGACCAUCAGGACUUCAGGUAUCGCAGUCUUGGAACAGAAACAAAACCCUGGGACUACCUGAAAUUCUAAUUUUUCCUGAGGGAAACAAACACCGUUAAGACCAGGCGCAGUUUAUGAGGGUCCAGGGCAUGUUUCUCUUGAAAUGGCGUAAAUCUGCUUCCCAGACAGCAUGCAAAGACCCGUUUCCGAGACGCCUGCCACCCAGGCCAGGCGUGGAAGCAGCACUUUCCCGUGGAGGCUGGUGCUGUCUCUCCGGUCAGCUGCCCUCUCCAUGGCCCAGCGGUGCCCCCAGCUUUGGAGCUUUAUGUCAGCAGGAGUAUUUUUAUUUAACGUCACAUGGUAAACACAAAGAAAAUCCUCUGUUUUCUGACCUAAUUUCAGCAGGGCAUAGAAUUAAGUUUAGCUUGUCACCUUGUUUUCUGCCGAACUUAGUCAGGUUUCAGUAUUUUUGUU